rnacentral:lncRNA from 1 species
GCCUUGAAAAGCUAUAUCGGCCAACUGCGUGUCGUUUAAAGCCAGGGAAUAGCACUUGUUCCUGAUUUCCCGAAACCUCUGUACAUACGAGGAUAUCGGCUCGUCACUUCUUUGCCUGAGGCUGGUCAAAUCGGAUAGUUUCAUCUCAUGCACCCCAGCGUAGAAGUAUUUGUGGAAUUGUCUUUCUAAAUCGGCCCAUGUGAUAAUCGAGUUUGGCGGCAAUGUCGUGAACCAUUG